GGGAGUAGCAAAUACUUCAAUGAGAACUUGAAGGACCGAAGUGGGGAAAGGUUCCAUGUGAACAGCGGUUGGACGUGGGUUAGCCGAUCCUAAGCCCGCAGGGUGUGCCGUCGGGCGCUGGUGUGGUGCGGGGCGGCGCGCGAGGAACUUUCCCCAAAAUCUGCGCUCGUGGGUUUUUCGUUUGUAUGGGCGGGAGCAGACCUUUUUUUUUGCCAUACAAAUUGAGCGUUUUCGAGAAAAAAAAAAACGCGCGUUGUAUGGUGGGGGCGGGGCCGGAGCGUCGAUGGGGUCGGCGGCAGGGCGACACCCUCAAACUGACGGGGAACUCCUAAAGCCCUCGCUCCGGACAGGCGUCGCCCAGCACCUCUGCUGGGUUCGGUGCGCUCCCGACGUCCCUUGAAAAUCCGCGGGAGGGAAUAAUUCUCACGCCAGGGCGUACUCAUAACCGCAGCAGGUCUCCAAGGUGAACAGCCUCUGGUU
rnacentral:ncRNA from 1 species